AUUGGAAUUACACGUAGGACUCUACGUGACUUUGCUUUCUUUCUCUCUUAGCCUCCCUUUCCUUCAACUGACUUUCUCCCAAAUCCAAGUCCCUGCCCAUUAAAUACCAUAGACAGCGCUGCCCCACACAGCUGUGGGUCCAUCAAGAACUGCUAUGUAUGUGACCAGUCUCUUUCUCAUCCUGGAGCCUGUGUUAGCAUCUGAUGCUACACACGCCCAAAGCAAGAACCUGUGAGUAUGUUAGUAUGCAUGGUGUAAAAGACUCUGCAGAUGUGACCCAGUUAAGGAUCUUGAGAUGGGGAGAGGAACCUGGAUUAUCUGGGUGGGCUCAAUAUAAUCACAAGGGACCUUAUAAGAAGGAGGAAAGAAGACACAGGCAGAAGGAGGAGUAGGCACAAAGGAAGCAGAGGUUGGAGUGAGAUGCUUUGAAGAUGGAAGAAGAGGCUGUGAGCCAGGGAUGCAGAUGGCCUCUUGAAACUGGAGAAGACAAGGAAACAGAUUCCCCCCGAUUCUUCCAGAAGGAACGUAGCUCUAGCAUCUUUAUUUUAGACUU